ACACGACCGAGCAACAGAGGCCACAUGAGCUUUGAAGGUUGGGCGGGGCUGGUCGGAGGAGGACGCUCCCUCGCUGGCACAGCUGUGGCUCAUUGCCUCAGUCAGCGGACAGGUUAAAGCCACUGCUCACCUGGACUCCUGUGCCAGACGACUGUGAACACCACAAGUGUGUCUCCUCCACCGGUCUGCGGGUCCAGCCGUCCGCCCCCCACGCCAGCCUUACCCACCACGAGAGCACAAGACGGGCACGAAGAAUCUCUACACGAGCACCUGCACAGGAAAUCAUCCUCCUGCACCACCGCUAUGAUCAGCGCACCCACCCUGGAUUCCUCACCUGCCUCCUGUGCUCCACACCCCCCAGAUUCCCUUAAUAAACCUGUUUUU